ACAUGUAUAUCUCACUAUGUUUUUCUAUAUGCUCUUUGCUAUACUUUUCCAGUGUUCUUGUGUUAUCCUACUGUAUUUCUUUUACUAAGUUCUUAAGUCCCUUUCUGAAAUGUUUCUUAAACAUGUUUCUUCUACUAUCAUGUUGUUCUCUCAUUGUGCUUUGACUUUGUUCCUUCACUCUGUUUGCUUUGAAUUUUCUAUUAUACUUGCUUGUCUUCUCAUGAGAUUCUGAAAUCUCUGAGCAUGUUGCCUCCUCAUCUCCGUAUUUUACUGAAGGUAGAAACCCUAGAAUUUAAGGGUUCUGCCGAGUUUGGUCAUGUGAUUGAUUUAGUGUUCUGUUUGAGAACCCUUGACUCUUCAGACUAAUCUCUGAG
rnacentral:lncRNA from 1 species